AACGAACGCUGGCGGCAUGCCUAACACAUGCAAGUCGAACGAGACCUUCGGGUCUAGUGGCGCACGGGUGCGUAACGCGUGGGAACCUGCCCUUAGGUUCGGAAUAACUCCCCGAAAGGGGUGCUAAUACCGGAUAAUGUCUUCGGACCAAAGAUUUAUCGCCUUUGGAUGGGCCCGCGUUGGAUUAGCUAGUUGGUAGGGUAAAAGCCUACCAAGGCGACGAUCCAUAGCUGGUCUGAGAGGAUGAUCAGCUACACUGGGACUGAGACACGGCCCAGACUCCUACGGGAGGGAGGAGUGGGGAAUAUUGGACAAUGGGCGAAAGCCUGAUCAAGCAAUGUGGGGUGAGUGAUGAAGGCCUUAGGGUUGUAAAGCUCCUUUACCCGGGAUGAUAAUGACAGUACCGGGAGAAUAAGCACCGGCUAACUACGUG
rnacentral:rRNA from 1 species